rnacentral:lncRNA from 10 species
UGUGAUUUCAAACUACCCAUAAUUUCAUUGCAAGAGAAGAGAACUGACCCAGACUUGCAUUUAAGUAUAUAUUUUCGGAACUAACUCCAUACUGUAGAAACCAGAAGCUUCUGUUCUUCGCCGAUGUAGAAUGAGGCUGUGUUUUCUUCUCAUCUGUCCAGUAGUCACUGAGCGCGCACGCCGAGCUUAUGGGUAGAUUACUUAGCAGAAAUGAAGUGAAAAGGUGGUCCCUGCCCGCUGACUGGUAGAAGAGAAUACACUCACAGCACUCCACUCCUUAUAAAGCAAGACAUGAAAUAAUUGGGGAGAUGUGGAUUCAAAUUCAACCCCAGAGGGUGGAGGAUGGACUUGAGAUCUGCAGAGGCCUAGAUAGAGAACAGGAAGGAAGGAAUAUUCUUCUCUUUGUUUCUUUCUUUAAACUUAGGAACAGCGCCCACCAACACGAAUGGGUAGUUGACUCUUAGCAUUUACGGUAACUGGGCUUCAAUCAAAA